rnacentral:misc_RNA from 1 species
UUUCCGUAGGUGAACCUGCGGAAGGAUCAUUACAGAGUUCAUGCCCUCACGGGUAGAUCUCCCACCCUUGAAUAUUUAUACCUUAGUUGCUUUGGCAGGCCGUGGAAGCACCAUGGGCUCCGGCUUAUGCGUGCCUGCCAGAGGAAACAGACUCUGUUUUUAGUGAUGUCUGAGUACUAUAUAAUAGUUAAAACUUUCAACAACGGAUCUCUUGGUUCUG